CUAUGCAGCUGACUUGUAAAUGUUCUUCGAGUAUCUUCAUUCUUCCUUAAUCCUAAUGAAGUUUUAGAGGCGAAGAUACUCGAAAAACAUUUACUUGUUAUUUGUAUAG
rfam:Nicotiana sylvestris Nsyl_contig164645, whole genome shotgun sequence.